GACAAACGCUGGCGGCGUGCGUAACACAUGCAAGUUGAACGCGAAUAUAUAAGAAGUGGUAACACGGAUUGUAUGUUUGAGUAGCGGACGGGUGAGUACAACAUGAGAACCUAUCCUUCAAAGGGGGACAACGUUUGGAAACGGACGCUAAUACCCCAUAAGCCGAGAGGUUAAAGCAGCGAUGCGAUGGAGGAGGGGCUCGUGUCCUAUCAGCUAGUUGGUGGGGUAAUGGCCUACCAAGGCGACGACGGGUAGCCGGCCUGAGAGGGUGUACGGCCACACUGGAACUGAGAUACGGUCCAGACUCCUAUGGGAGGCAGCAGUGGGGAAUAUUGGGCAAUGGGAGAAAUCCUGACCCAGCGACGCCGCGUGAACGAAGACGGCCUUCGGGUUGUAAAGUUCUUUUAUGUGGGAAGAAAACAAUGACGGUACCACAUGAAUAAGCCCCGGCUAACUACGUGCCAGCAGCCGCCGUAAAAC
rnacentral:rRNA from 1 species